CAAGAUAAAAACAAUUAUACUUAUAAAAAUGCAAAAAUGGAAGAAAGAAAUGCUUAUAAAGAUAAGGCUCAUACAUAUAAAUUAGAUACAUUUAAAUUUACAACAAUGAAAGAUAUAGGUGAUGCAAAUAACUUUAACAUAAAUGGAAAACUAAAUAAUAAUAAUAAUAAUAACCAAUUAAAGGGGGAAUAUGAUACAUAUAGUAUAUUAUCUAUCAAUAAAAAAAAGAAUACCCUUGAAAAUAAACCUCUCUUAAAUAUGCAUACAUUUGAUUAUAUGUUUAAUGGAAACGGUAACAAUACCGGCACUACAAAUACUGCUAUUACGAGUGGUGCUACAUCUAAUACUGCUUCUGCUAAUACUGCUACUACAGCUGGUGGUACUACUAAUACCAGUAAAGACGUUUACUUCAACUUAAAUAAUAACAAUUAUAAACAUAGAAAUAUAAAUGAUAAACAUACAGACACUACAAAUAACAAUUUAUAUUAUAAUCCAAACGAUACAGGUUUUAAUAUACUAGAUAAAUUACAUAAAAAACAAAUAGAUACAGAUUUGAUUAAGAACCCUUUAAACAUUCACAAUAAUAAUAAUAACAAUAAUAAUAAUAAUAACAAUAAUAGUGAUGGUAUAAAUAGCAACUAUAAAAACACAUUGUAUAAUAACAAUAACAUUGAGAAAGACAAUAACAAUAGUAAUACAUUUAAUAAAAACAUAUAUUUUAAACAUCUGAGUAAUAAUAAUAAUGUUACGGCUGGUACAAAUAUUAAUACUAUUGCUACCGCUACUACAACUAGUGCUUCUUCUUCUGUUGCUGCUAAUUUUUUCAAAAAUAAUGACAUUGACAAUAUACGCAAUCAAAAUUAUAACUAUAAUUUACUAUCUAACAAUAAAAAUGAAAAACCAAAUGAACAAAACCAAAUAAGAUUUAACAACGAAUUAAAUCUGUUCAAAAAUGAUAAAGGCUAUAACUACAAUUAUUGUAACAAAACAUAUGAAAUAAAUAAUGAAAAUAACAAACAGACUGUAUUUUCGAAUUAUAU
rnacentral:lncRNA from 1 species